GGAAUCUGCACUCCCAGAUGAUAAUGAGUCAGUUCAUCUUAGACUGUGCUGCCUGUUGGUAACUAAGAGCUGGGGCUGGUCAGCUAAAGGGCUUGUUAGGGUACUGCUCAAAUGAAGCCAAAAUUAUGAGCUCUAACACAUGGGAUUGUUAGGUUCAGUGUCCGCCAGCCAUCCCCCAAAAUGCCUGGGUUUAGUCAUAAGGGGCAUCAGUUUAGAAGCAGUGAUGAAGCAUCCAUGCUGCGGUGCUUGGAGAUGAGCCUUAAAAUCCACACUUCCCCGGCGGUAGCUAAAGGACUUCAUUACAAAUCAGUAGUAGUUUUACAUAUAGAUUGUAAGAGGAGGGAAUAUCUGAACGCAUCCAGAGGCUUCACACAGAAGGGGAUAUCUGAACUGGCUUUGGUAAAAAGCAAAUUAACAUUUUUGUCUUAUGGAGAUUGAAGCAAAGCAUAAGCCCAAAGAACGAAGCAUAAAAUUCAAGAGCACAUUCAGGUUUGUCACAGUGGGUGGAGGAGUGGGGCGGGAGGAAGGAGAGGGAAGGCACACUUAGUUGAGGUGAGCUGUCAGGCGGGCUGGCUGUUCAGAGGUGGGUGCCCUGUGUGGGGAGGCUCUUUGAUUCCUGGGGAGGAAGGCUAGAGAACAGGCAGCUCUUUUCUCUCUGCUAGAAAAGAGGAGGCGGCUCCUCACAAGGUUCCUUCCCACAGCUGAGCACUGCCCACAGCUGCCCUUGCCCCUGCCUUUCCACGUUGCACAAGCCCAGCGCACGGUACCCACUGGAUAUGCCCGAGGCCUCCAGAGGAAAGGAAAGGAGGAAAAGGGACAGAAGAAAUGUUCACAGGAACUGCAUAUGGGCCUGCUACUUGUGUCAAAAUGUGACUGAACUCUCUUCCAGCAGGCUAUUUCACUGAACUGAAGCAGUCAAAAGAGAAUGCUCAUGAGAUCCCAUCACCACCACUUUACCGAACUACUUCCAUAUUGUGAAUCCCUGGAAGGCAAGAUCGCCAUUCUGGUCUCUUGUGGAUAUCAAUGCUGAUCUCAGCUUCUGAUGCACGGCAGUCAAUUAAUAAAUGAUUGUUGCCUGAAAAACUGAGCCCCAAAACAAUAUUACAAGUUUAAUAUCAGUAAAGGAUUUAAUGCUUUCUAACAUGAAGAUACCAGAUCUUUUCUAUUCCUGGACUUUUAGAGUUGCUGAUUUUUGUAUAACCCAGAGAUGGAUUUAAAUGCAGAGUGUAUGAACUUCUUCAUUCCUGAGGGAGGACUUAUGAUUUCAUGAGAAAUGCCCUAGGAAAGGGGCCGGGGAGACUGAUGGAGAAGAAGAGUUUGGGAGGGAAGCCCCAAGGACCAUCUGCCCCAUCAGAGUCACAUGCAGAGGGUCCUGCUCCUGCCGUUGGAAGUUGGCUUCCUGAGCUGCUGAACGUGCCAGUCCUGCUGACCCACUCUCAGAUAUCACAGGCACCCGCUGUGUCUGACAGAGACCUUUCUGCAAGUACACGUGCAGGUCUGCUCUGCAAAGGCGUUAUCAUCUGCAGAUUAUUGCACAGAGUGGCUACGAGCUGUGGUGUGAUCCUGUCACAGAGAGAGCCUGGUCACGUUUUCAGAACAGCAGGAAACAGGUACACCUGUAAGCUUAUACUUAUCAGAUUUAAAAAUAAAACAAAAAAUCCAUGCUAUUCCAUGAAAAUCGGACUCAAAUAAACUUAGUCACUGAUCUGUGAAGUAAAUAAUCUGAUGGUAAUGCAUCAGUUGACACUUGGGCCUGGGUUUUUAGGCACUAAUGAAAGCCAGGGGCAAAAUAAUUUUUAAUCUACCAUUAUUUCCCUUGAUGGUUC
rnacentral:lncRNA from 10 species